UACGAAGGGGGCUAGCGUUGCUCGGAAUCACUGGGCGUAAAGGGCGCGUAGGCGGCGCGGGUAGUCAUCGGUGAAAGUUCAGGGCUCAACUCUGAAUCGGCCGGUGAUACUCCCGUGCUCGAGCACUGUAGAGGCAGGUGGAAUUCCGGGUGUAGCGGUGGAAUGCGUAGAGAUCCGGAAGAACACCGGUGGCGAAGGCGGCCUGCUGGGCAGUAGCUGACGCUGAUGCGCGACAGCGUGGGGAGCAAACAGG
rnacentral:rRNA from 1 species